UACGUAGGGGGCUAGCGUUGUCCGGAAUCAUUGGGCGUAAAGAGCGUGUAGGCGGUCCGGUAAGUCCGCUGUGAAAGUCGGGGGCUCAACCCUCGAAUGCCGGUGGAAACUGUCGGGCUAGAGUACGGAAGAGGCGAGUGGAAUUCCUGGUGUAGCGGUGAAAUGCGCAGAUAUCAGGAGGAACACCAAUUGCGAAGGCAGCUCGCUGGGACGUUACUGACGCUGAGACGCGAAAGCGUGGGGAGCAAACAGG
rnacentral:rRNA from 1 species